GGCUCACCAAGGCCACGAUGCAUAGCCGACCUGAGCCAUGAUCAAACUCUACUGGGACUGAGACACGGCCCAGACUCCUACGGGAGGCAGCAGUAGGGAAUCUUCGGCAAUGGACGAAAGUCUGACCGAGCAACGCCGCGUGAGUGAAGAAGGUUUUCGGAUCGUAAAACUCUGUUGUUAGAGAAGAACAAGGACGUUAGUAACUGAACGUCCCCUGACGGUAUCUAACCAGAAAGCCACGGCUAACUACGUGCCAGCAGCCGCGGUAAUACGUAGGUGGCAAGCGUUGUCCGGAUUUAUUGGGCGUAAAGCGAGCGCAGGCGGUUUCUUAAGUCUGAUGUGAAAGCCCCCGGCUCAACCGGGGAGGGUCAUUGGAAACUGGGAGACUUGAGUGCAGAAGAGGAGAGUGGAAUUCCAUGUGUAGCGGUGAAAUGCGUAGAUAUA
rnacentral:rRNA from 1 species